GCCAGGCAUCUGUGGCUCAGUGGUAGGACAUCAGCUUGGCAUGCAGAAGGCCACAGGUUCAAUCCCUGGCACCUCCGGUU
rnacentral:tRNA from 1 species